rnacentral:tRNA from 1 species
GGGGGCAUAGCUCAGUAUUGGAGCAUCCGACUGCAAAUCGGAAUGUCCCAGGAUCAAACCCGGGUGCUCCCU